rnacentral:rRNA from 1 species
GCGACGGGCGAUAUGUACAUAUUAGUAUAAAUUAUCAAAAAAACUAAUUAUUCUUUUUUUACUCCCUAAUCCAACCUUCAUUUCAUCAAUUAUUUCAAUAUAACUUUACAGUUUCAUAUUUCAAUAUAAAAGUAACUCAUCUAAACCUAUAAAAAUCUACAUUUUGACUUGAAUUCUUUAUUUUAUAAUCAUAUUUCAUUCAUUUAAAUAAUAAAUAAUAAAUUAAACAGCAAUACAUAAAAAAAAUUAUAGAUAAAAUUUAAUGGGGAAUAUCAAAUUAAAUAGACAAGGUCCUCAGAAUUUAACCAAAUACCGCCAAUACUUCUAAAAUUCAUAAAAAAAUCAAAUAAAAUCUUGGUGAUAUUUUUCAUUAAAAUAAUAGGGGAUCUAA